AUCUAAAUAGUUUAAAAAAAAUAUUAGUUUGUGGUACUAAAGUUAUAUUAAGAGAUUUUAGAUU
rnacentral:tRNA from 1 species